GAUGAACGCUGGCGGCGUGCCUAAUACAUGCAAGUCGAACGAAACUUCUUUAUCACCGAGUGCUUGCACUCACCGAUAAAGAGUUGAGUGGCGAACGGGUGAGUAACACGUGGGCAACCUGCCCAAAAGAGGGGGAUAACACUUGGAAACAGGUGCUAAUACCGCAUAACCAUAGUUACCGCAUGGUAACUAUGUAAAAGGUGUCUAUACUACCGCUUUUGGAUGGGCCCGCGGCGCAUUAGCUAGUUGGUAGGGUAAAGGCUUACCAAGGCAAUGAUGCGUAGCCGAAUUGAGAGGUUGAUCGGCCACACUGGGACUGAGACACGGCCCAAACUCCUACGGGAGGCAGCAGUAGGGAAUCUUCCACAAUGGGCGAAAGCCUGAUGGAGCAACGCCGCGUGGGUGAAGAAGGUCUUCGGAUCGUAAAACCCUGUUGUUAGAGAAGAAAGUGCGUGAGAGUAACUGUUCACGUUUCGACGGUAUCUAACCAGAAAGCCACUGCUAACUACGUG
rnacentral:rRNA from 1 species